CCUACGGGAGGCAGCAGUGGGGAAUCUUGCGCAAUGGGCGAAAGCCUGACGCAGCAACGCCGCGUGCGGGAAGAAGGCUUUCGGGCUGUAAACCGCUUUCAGCAGGAACGAAAAUGACGGUACCUGCAGAAGAAGGAGCGGCCAACUAUGUGCCAGCAGCCGCGGUGAUACAUAGGCUUCAAGCGUUGUCCGGAUUUAUUGGGCGUAAAGAGUUCGUAGGCGGUCGAGUAAGUCGGGUGUGAAAAUUCUGGGCUCAACCCAGAGACGCCACCCGAUACUGCUUGACUUGAGUUCGAUAGGGGAGUGGGGAAUUCCUAGUGUAGCGGUGAAAUGCGCAGAUAUUAGGAGGAACACCGGUGGCGAAGGCGCCACUCUGGAUCGAUACUGACGCUGAGGAACGAAAGCAUGGGUAGCAAACAGGAUUAGAUACCCUGGUAGUCCAUGCCGUAAACGGUGGGCACUAGGUGUGGGUUUCUAUUAACGAAAUCCGCGCCGUCGCUAACGCAUUAAGUGCCCCGCCUGGGGAAGUCGGUCGCAAAGCUUAAAACNAAANAGUAAGUAGAGNGNGAGAGUUGCGAGCGACGACGAGGGAGAGG
rnacentral:rRNA from 1 species